rnacentral:rRNA from 1 species
CAGCAGCCACGGUAAUACGAACCGUGCGAACGUUAUUCGGAAUUACUGGGCUUAAAGCGCGUGUAGGCGGGCCGCCACGUCGGUUGCUGAAAUCCCCCGGCUCAACCGGGGAAGUGGCAUCGAUACGAGCGGCCUUGAGGGGGGUAGGGGGAUCUGGAACUUCCGGUGGAGCGGUGAAAUGCGUUGAGAUCGGAAGGAACGCCCGUGGCGAAAGCGAGGUCCUGGACCCUUUCUGACGCUGAGACGCGAAAGCCAGGGGAGCGAACGGGAUUAGAUACCCGUGUAGUCCCUGUCUCUUAUA